CUGGGAAAACAGGCAAUCGCCGCCGGCUGCUUGCAGCUGGGGGAGGAAAGUCUGGACUUCGUAGGAGAGGAUACCAGUGAAAGACUGGGAGCCGUAAGGCUACGGAAAGUGUAACAGAAAGCAAUCCGGUGUGGGCUACGGCCUGCGCACAGGCUGAAACGCUAGCAUCAGGUGCUGGCUGCACUUGAGGUAACUCAAGGCACGACAAACCCUAUCCGAAGCAAGAUCAUGUUGGAUGCGUGCUUCCGCGUUCGCCAACAGUAAAGCGCUCGAGGACUUCGGCGACGAAGUCCCUAGAUGAAUGGUUGCCGUCUAGCCUCUUGGGGCUAGAAACAGAAUCCGGCUUAUCGUUUUCCCAGCUUU
rnacentral:RNase_P_RNA from 1 species